rnacentral:rRNA from 1 species
GCAUAUCAAUAAGCGGAGGAAAAGAAACCAACAGGGAUUGCCCUAGUAACGGCGAGUGAAGCGGCAACAGCUCAAAUUUGAAAUCUGGCCCUCGUGGUCCGAGUUGUAAUUUGUAGAGGAUGCUUUUGGUGCGGUGCCUUCCGAGUUCCCUGGAACGGGACGCCAGAGAGGGUGAGAGCCCCGUACGGUUGGACACCUACCCUAUAUAUAGCUCCUUCGACGAGUCGAGUAGUUUGGGAAUGCUGCUCUAAAUGGGAGGUAAAUUUCUUCUAAAGCUAAAUACCGGCCAGAGACCGAUAGCGCACAAGUAGAGUGAUCGAAAGAUGAAAAGCACUUUGAAAAGAGGGUUAAAUAGCACGUGAAAUUGUUGAAAGGGAAGCGUUUGCGACCAGACUUUUUCCAGGCGGAUCAUCCGGUGUUCUCACCGGUGCACUUCGCCUGGUUUAGGCCAGCAUCGGUUCUCUUAGGGGGAUAAAGGCUUGGGGAACGUAGCUCCUUCGGGAGUGUUAUAGCCCCUUGCGUAAUACCCUUCGGGGGACCGAGGAUCGCGCUCUGCAAGGAUGCUGGCGUAAUGGUCGUCAACGACCCGUCUUGAAACACGGACCAAGGAGUCGAACAUUUGUGCGAGUGUUUGGGUGUUAAACCCUCACGCGUAAUGAAAGUGAACGGAGGUGAGAGCCCUUACGGGUGCAUCAUCGACCGAUCCUGAUGUCUUCGGAUGGAUUUGAGUAAGAGCAUAACUGUUCGGACCCGAAAGAUGGUGAACUAUGCGUGGAUAGGGUGAAGCCAGAGGAAACUCUGGUGGAGGCUCGCAGCGGUUCUGACGUGCAAAUCGAUCGUCAAAUCUGCGCAUGGGGGGCGAAAGACUUAUCGAACCAUCUAGUAGCUGGUUACCGCCGAAG